rnacentral:rRNA from 1 species
UUAAGCGACUAAGCGUACACGGUGGAUGCCCUGGCAGUCAGAGGCGAUGAAGGACGUGCUAAUCUGCGAUAAGCGUCGGUAAGGUGAUAUGAACCGUUAUAACCGGCGAUUUCCGAAUGGGGAAACCCAGUGUGAUUCGUCACACUAUCAUUAACUGAAUCCAUAGGUUAAUGAGGCGAACCGGGGGAACUGAAACAUCUAAGUACCCCGAGGAAAAGAAAUCAACCGAGAUUCCCCCAGUAGCGGCGAGCGAACGGGGAGGAGCCCAGAGCCUGAAUCAGUGUGUGUGUUAGUGGAAGCGUCUGGAAAGGCGCGCGAUACAGGGUGACAGCCCCGUACACAAAAAUGCACAUGCUGUGAGCUCGAUGAGUAGGGCGGGACACGUGGUAUCCUGUCUGAAUAUGGGGGGACCAUCCUCCAAGGCUAAAUACUCCUGACUGACCGAUAGUGAACCAGUACCGUGAGGGAAAGGCGAAAAGAACCCCGGCGAGGGGAGUGAAAAAGAACCUGAAACCGUGUACGUACAAGCAGUGGGAGCCUCUUUAUGGGGUGACUGCGUACCUUUUGUAUAAUGGGUCAGCGACUUAUAUUCUGUAGCAAGGUUAACCGAAUAGGGGAGCCGAAGGGAAACCGAGUCUUAACUGGGCGUUAAGUUGCAGGGUAUAGACCCGAAACCCGGUGAUCUAGCCAUGGGCAGGUUGAAGGUUGGGUAACACUAACUGGAGGACCGAACCGACUAAUGUUGAAAAAUUAGCGGAUGACUUGUGGCUGGGGGUGAAAGGCCAAUCAAACCGGGAGAUAGCUGGUUCUCCCCGAAAGCUAUUUAGGUAGCGCCUCGUGAACUCAUCUCCGGGGGUAGAGCACUGUUUCGGCAAGGGGGUCAUCCCGACUUACCAACCCGAUGCAAACUGCGAAUACCGGAGAAUGUUAUCACGGGAGACACACGGCGGGUGCUAACGUCCGUCGUGAAGAGGGAAACAACCCAGACCGCCAGCUAAGGUCCCAAAGUCAUGGUUAAGUGGGAAACGAUGUGGGAAGGCCCAGACAGCCAGGAUGUUGGCUUAGAAGCAGCCAUCAUUUAAAGAAAGCGUAAUAGCUCACUGGUCGAGUCGGCCUGCGCGGAAGAUGUAACGGGGCUAAACCAUGCACCGAAGCUGCGGCAGCGACGCUUAUGCGUUGUUGGGUAGGGGAGCGUUCUGUAAGCCUGUGAAGGUGUGCUGUGAGGCAUGCUGGAGGUAUCAGAAGUGCGAAUGCUGACAUAAGUAACGAUAAAGCGGGUGAAAAGCCCGCUCGCCGGAAGACCAAGGGUUCCUGUCCAACGUUAAUCGGGGCAGGGUGAGUCGACCCCUAAGGCGAGGCCGAAAGGCGUAGUCGAUGGGAAACAGGUUAAUAUUCCUGUACUUGGUGUUACUGCGAAGGGGGGACGGAGAAGGCUAUGUUGGCCGGGCGACGGUUGUCCCGGUUUAAGCGUGUAGGCUGGUUUUCCAGGCAAAUCCGGAAAAUCAAGGCUGAGGCGUGAUGACGAGGCACUACGGUGCUGAAGCAACAAAUGCCCUGCUUCCAGGAAAAGCCUCUAAGCAUCAGGUAACAUCAAAUCGUACCCCAAACCGACACAGGUGGUCAGGUAGAGAAUACCAAGGCGCUUGAGAGAACUCGGGUGAAGGAACUAGGCAAAAUGGUGCCGUAACUUCGGGAGAAGGCACGCUGAUAUGUAGGUGAAGUCCCUCGCGGAUGGAGCUGAAAUCAGUCGAAGAUACCAGCUGGCUGCAACUGUUUAUUAAAAACACAGCACUGUGCAAACACGAAAGUGGACGUAUACGGUGUGACGCCUGCCCGGUGCCGGAAGGUUAAUUGAUGGGGUCAGCGCAAGCGAAGCUCUUGAUCGAAGCCCCGGUAAACGGCGGCCGUAACUAUAACGGUCCUAAGGUAGCGAAAUUCCUUGUCGGGUAAGUUCCGACCUGCACGAAUGGCGUAAUGAUGGCCAGGCUGUCUCCACCCGAGACUCAGUGAAAUUGAACUCGCUGUGAAGAUGCAGUGUACCCGCGGCAAGACGGAAAGACCCCGUGAACCUUUACUAUAGCUUGACACUGAACAUUGAGCCUUGAUGUGUAGGAUAGGUGGGAGGCUUAGAAGUGUGGACGCCAGUCUGCAUGGAGCCGACCUUGAAAUACCACCCUUUAAUGUUUGAUGUUCUAACGUUGACCCGUAAUCCGGGUUGCGGACAGUGUCUGGUGGGUAGUUUGACUGGGGCGGUCUCCUCCUAAAGAGUAACGGAGGAGCACGAAGGUUGGCUAAUCCUGGUCGGACAUCAGGAGGUUAGUGCAAUGGCAUAAGCCAGCUUGACUGCGAGCGUGACGGCGCGAGCAGGUGCGAAAGCAGGUCAUAGUGAUCCGGUGGUUCUGAAUGGAAGGGCCAUCGCUCAACGGAUAAAAGGUACUCCGGGGAUAACAGGCUGAUACCGCCCAAGAGUUCAUAUCGACGGCGGUGUUUGGCACCUCGAUGUCGGCUCAUCACAUCCUGGGGCUGAAGUAGGUCCCAAGGGUAUGGCUGUUCGCCAUUUAAAGUGGUACGCGAGCUGGGUUUAGAACGUCGUGAGACAGUUCGGUCCCUAUCUGCCGUGGGCGCUGGAGAACUGAGGGGGGCUGCUCCUAGUACGAGAGGACCGGAGUGGACGCAUCACUGGUGUUCGGGUUGUCAUGCCAAUGGCACUGCCCGGUAGCUAAAUGCGGAAGAGAUAAGUGCUGAAAGCAUCUAAGCACGAAACUUGCCCCGAGAUGAGUUCUCCCUGACUCCUUGAGAGUCCUGAAGGAACGUUGAAGACGACGACGUUGAUAGGCCGGGUGUGUAAGCGCAGCGAUGCGUUGAGCUAACCGGUACUAAUGAACCGUGAGGCUUAACCU